rnacentral:rRNA from 1 species
UAGGGAAUCUUCGGCAAUGGGGGGAACCCUGACCGAGCAACGCCGCGUGAGUGAAGAAGGUUUUCGGAUCGUAAAGCUCUGUUGUUAAGGAAGAACGAGUGUGAGAAUGGAAAGUUCAUACUGUGACGGUACUUAACCAGAAAGGGACGGCUAACUACGUGCCAGCAGCCGCGGUAAUACGUAGGUCCCGAGCGUUGUCCGGAUUUAUUGGGCGUAAAGCGAGCGCAGGCGGUUAGAUAAGUCUGAAGUUAAAGGCAGUGGCUCAACCAUUGUAGGCUUUGGAAACUGUUUAACUUGAGUGCAGAAGGGGAGAGUGGAAUUCCGUGUGUAGCGGUGAAAUGCGUAGAUAUAUGGAGGAACACCGGUCGCGAAAGCGGCUCUCUGGUCUGUAACUGACGCUGAGGCUCGAAAGCGUGGGGAGCGAACAGG